AUUGAACGCUGGCGGCAUGCUUUACACAUGCAAGGCGAACGGUAACAGGCCGCAAGGUGCUGACGAGUGGCGGACUGGUUAGAAAUGCAUCGGAACGUGCCCAGACGUGGGGGAUAAGGCAGCGAACGUGGCGCUAAUACCGCAUACGAGCUCUGGGUGAACGCGGGGCACCGUAAGGCCUCGUGCGAUAGGAGCGGCCGAUGUCAGAUUAGGUAGUUGGUGGGGUAAAGGCUCCCAAAGCCAACGAUCUGUAGCUGGUAUGAGAGGACGACCAGCCACACUGGGACUGAGACACGGCCCAGACUCCUACGGGAGGAAGCAGUGGGGAAUUUUGGACAAUGGGCGCAAGCCUGAUCCAGCAAUGCGGCGUGCAGGAAGAAGGCCUUCGGGUUGUAAACUGCUUUUGUACUGAACGAAACGGUCCUGGUUAAUACCUGGGGCUAAUGACGGUACCGUAAGAAUAAGCACCGGCUAACUACGUGCCAGCCGCCGCAGUAAUAC
rnacentral:rRNA from 1 species